rnacentral:sRNA from 1 species
AUGUACCACGCGUACACGCCGGUUUCUGCGCGCCGUCCGCACCCACC